GCUACACCAAUUUGGCUCCAGUGGUUUGUUGGAAUGGAUGUAACAUCCUGUUGGAAUGGAUGAAAACUGCUUACCAAAGGUGAGAACACUGAGGUGCAGACAAGUGUCCCCAAGUCAUGCAGUACAUGGAUGUGGGAAGCUGGGCAGUUUGACUGCACAAACACAAACCUCCCUGAAACUGCAUCAGAAUACCAUGUCAAAUCACCUGAUUGCCCUCUCUGUCGUCGAGGAAAAUGGGAGGUUGGAGCAGUUUCCUUUUCUCAUUUCUGUCUGUUUUGACUACUUUCUGGAUGAGUUCUGAUUUCUUCUUCUCCUGAUCCUAGUACCUCUGGCCUCCCAGUUUCUGAGACAGCCCCAGAGUUACCACCUUCCACUGCUAAAAUGUCAGGGUCUGGACACUGAAGCCUACACCUUGCUGAAGCCAGCUUCUUUUGUAAAGUCACACAAAAUUCCAUUCUUGGAUCUAGUUCUUCUUGGAAAUAAGGAAAAAAAAAAUCAUAAACCAAGAUUUCUCCUAGACUGAUGUGAUCAAAGAAACCAAAUUCAGAAUGUUUUUAGAAUGUUGUGCUCAGUGACCUGAAGUCCUAGGCGCAUAGAUUUAGAAAAGAUUCCCAGGAUAGCCUCCAGCCCAAAGUCACUGCUGGCAGGAUACUCCCCUCCCCACUAGCCCGUCCCACCUCAGGUGAUGUUUUUCCAGCCUCUGCAGAAGUAAAGUGACACAGAAUGGUGGUCUUAGAAUAUUGUUUUUAUCUUGCUGUUUUACUUUUCUGUUGAAUAUGAGGUAUGUUGAUACAUAGGGAAGACUUUGUGCAUCAGUGGAAAACUAGACAUUAUCUAGAUUCUAGAGACAUUAUCUAGAUUCCAGUGACCUGAUUCUAGCCUUUUACGGCCAGGUGGGCUAUUUCACAGAGGUGAACAUUGUAGAUAACUGAAAGAGACAGAAAAUAAUUCUUAUCUGUAAACUUGCAAAUGAAUGCUGUCCAAUACAGGGGAUAUCCUUCUUCCCUGUGAUAAAAAAAUGUGAAAGGAAGUUUCUUUGGGGUACAGUUCUCGGUUGACAGUUAUCUUCUACUAUCUUCUGACUUUCAUUGUAUUGAGACAAUGAGUGUUAAUAAUUGAUUUAGUAAUUGUUUCUGCCUUUGAUUUAGUCAUUGUCAAAAGACAUGAAUUUUCAACUGUGUGUCUAGAGGCUGUCAUGAUCUGCUCUGAGCAAUACACAUCUCCUCACCUAAGUCAACCUGCCACACCUUGGUGAACACUUACAAGACAAUAGGGAGGUUUAGAUAUAGUCUGUGGUUGUGGUAAUGGAAUAAAGCUAAAUGAUGCAUACUGGAGUCA
rnacentral:lncRNA from 1 species